AUGAGGAUCAAUGAUUCAAGUUCAGAGGAGGAGGAUGUCCCUCUACCUCAACCUGGGGAUAUGCACAUGAAGUUCAAGAAGUCUAGUCUCCCUAAGAGGGCUAAACUAUCUAACAAUCGAUCUAUUCCUUCUCGUUUUCGGCAGAAAAGCAAAGGAGAUUUAUGUGACAAGAUCUUGAAGCUGGAGUCGGAGGUCGAUGAUUUAAAGGAGGAAAUCGCUCUUCUCAAUUACAACAUGAAGAAGCUGAAAGCACAAUUUACAUCAUCAACAACUCCAUCAUCGCCACCUCCGAAGAAAGAGACAUAA
rnacentral:rRNA from 1 species